rnacentral:lncRNA from 1 species
CUCUGGAAUUCACUGCUAUCUUUGCAGGUGUUUGGGGACUGUUGAACCGUGGCCUGAACCUCUGAUUGACCACCUGUGGCAAACACUGGGUCAGCCACAGCAGCACAGGUGAAGGCAAUCCAGCUGAGUGAUCAGGAGGGGUGGAGUCAGGCUGCAGCUCUCCGAGACCCCAUUUAAGGGCUGACUGCCAGCCGGGAAGGAUCUGUUCCUGGAGAUCCCUCCUCAUGGAGUUUUUGCAAGCCCACAACGCCGCUUCUGUUCCUGCCCUCCUAAGAGCAACCAUCUGAGCCUCUGGGUGGCAGCUGCACGUCCACCAGCAGAUGUGAAUUUGCAGGAGCUGAGAAAAACAAAAGGCUUUCUUCUGGAGUGCAGUGCAACUGUAGAAAGGGUUCCGCAUGAAGGCAGAGUGGAAAACCCUAACAAAGAACUGGAUAGGAGCUGCUCUGCUGAGAAACCUGGCGAGGUGUUGCAAGACUGAGCGCAAGGAGUGCAGAACACAGUAGUUUGCUACAACUCUCCUCAAUGAUAGAGGCUUCAGUUAUGAAUGCUGUACCACGGAGGAAGUUGCCCUGGGGGUCAAAAAGCUCCAAGGAAAUGCCCACUGGGAACAGCCAAUGAACUUACAGCUCAAGUGGACAUCACAGCCUGCCAGGUAAGCUGAUGAGCAGGGAAGGAGAGCAGACAGGUGGGAGUAGUAUUUUCCACAUCUCUACAUUUGCUGCCACAUACUUUGAAUCAUCUCAUUUCAAGCUUCAAACCAGAUUUUUCAGUUUGGUUUGAGAUUUUCUGGGGGGAAAGAAAUGGUAUUUGGCUUUGAUUUUGCUCAGAACAAGCCAUGCGUCCAUCCACGUAGACAGCGAGCAGCACUGCCUUGAUUCCAUCUUUACAGUACUGAUGGUAAAAAGUACAUGCUGGGAACUCUAUGGGAAUUCCAUGAACUGAAGAGUUUGUAGAAGAGUUUGAUGAAUCAUUCUGUGAUUCUAUGAACUCUUCAGGGUGUGGAGGUUGGAUUUUGAAAAUGAUUCGAGAUCCUUUCUUUCUAACAUUUGAGCUGCAUGUAGUCAUGCCAAUGAUGUUUCUCUGGAUCUGAUGCUGCUUCUGAUGACGCUGCAG